CGUACCCUGCGGUGUUCGUGUUUGACCGUUUGUUUUGAGCCAACACUAUUACAUUGGGAGCUUGACUCUGGUUGUGGAUUGCAUGCCUGAGUUUGACAGGAAGCAAAAAGCAGACAGGAGGGCACCCACCUGCUGAGCGCAGGUUCAAAACAACGGCCCCACGGCAUAGUGGGGUUAUU
rnacentral:other from 1 species